UACGAGGGGGGCGAGCGUUAUUCGGAAUCACUGGGCGUAAAGCGUGCGUAGGCUGUUCUACAAGUCAGGAGUGAAAGCCCAAGGCUUAACCUUGGAAGCGCUCUUGAAACUGUAGGACUCGAGUUCGGGAGAGGAUAGCGGAAUUCUCAGUGUAGCAGUGAAAUGCGUAGAUAUUGAGAGGAACACCAGUGGCGCAAGCGGCUAUCUGGACCGACACUGACGCUGAGGCACGAAAGCGUGGGGAUCAAACAGG
rnacentral:rRNA from 1 species